UACGGAGGUGGCAAGCGUUGCUCGGAAUCACUGGGCGUAAAGCGCACGUAGGCGGACUCUUAAGUCGGUGGUGAAAUCCUGGAGCUCAACUCCAGAACUGCCUUCGAUACUGAGAGUCUCGAGUCCGAGAGAGGUGAGUGGAACUGCGAGUGUAGAGGUGAAAUUCGUAGAUAUUCGCAAGAACACCAGUGGCGAAGGCGGCUCACUGGCUCGGUACUGACGCUGAGGUGGCGAAAGCG
rnacentral:rRNA from 1 species